rnacentral:rRNA from 1 species
GGAGUUUGGACCGUGUCUCAGUUCCAAUGUGGCCGUUCAUCCUCUCAGACCGGCUACUGAUCGUCGCCUUGGUGGGCCGCUACCCCGCCAACCAGCUAAUCAGACGCAGACCCAUCGCAAAGCGAUAGCUUACAAGUAGAGGCCAUCUUUAAUCAAUCUCCCAUGCGAGAAACUGACAACAUUCGGUAUUAGCAGUCCUUUCGGACUGUUGUCCCCAUCUUUGCGGCAGGUUGUCUACGCGUUACUCACCCGUUUGCCACUCGACUCAUCUAAGCAAGCUUAAAAUCGUCUCGUUCGACUUGCAUGUGUUAAGCACGCCGCCAGCGUUCGUCCUCGAGCCACUGAUCAAACUACU